AUCCACGUGCUUCUCCGUGAUCACACUGAUCCGUCAGAGAACGCCAUGUUUAUACUGUAGGUGGUUUGGUGCGGGUCUACAUGUUGUCUGUUAUUUUCAAGUGAUACGUUUACUUAUUUAUUUAUAUCGUAGUAUAAAGUAUCCUGUGCGUGAAGUAGAUUUCGAUCGAUAUUGUGACCGAUUAAUUUUCAUUGGCGGUACAUGGAAUAAUUUUGUAGACGUGAACGUUUUGUUGGUGACUUAUGGACCUACGUUUCUCGGAAUUCUUUUGCUACUUCAUAAAUUGUUUACAAGUUGUUCAUACUGCUUUGCGGCUAAGCAGAAUCCUCAGAACGUGCUAUUUGCGCUAGGAAUACAAUUUCCUUUUCAGGAAUCAACUGCAAACGUUGGAUGAACGUGAUGCAUCUUUACUAGAAGCAUUUGCGCGUUUUAUAACCUGACAACACGUCCAAAGUUUCUUCUCUUUUAACAUGUUAUUAAAUCUUUGACGAAGUAUUAAGCGAUCUGAAAUAAACAAAUGAAUUUCAAGAUGUGGUCAUCACAAGGUAACAAUUCUAAUUCAAAUAAUUCAUCCAAAGAAGAAAAAAAUCUACGUACACUGGGUAUGACAUCUGCUAUUAGUGUAGCAGAACCAAAGCCCAGUGAUUUUACUAGAACAAAUGAAUUAAAAGAAGCAUUAAAGCCUUACAAUGUAUUUGAAUCGGAAGAAGAAUUAAAUCAUAGGAUGGAAAUUUUAAGUAAAUUAAAUGCACUAGUAAAACAAUGGAUAAGGGAUACAAGUGUUGCCAGAAAUAUGCCACCCAAUGUAGCUGAACAGGUUGGCGGUAAAAUAUAUACUUUUGGUUCAUACAGGUUAGGGGUACACCACAAAGGUGCUGAUAUAGAUGCCUUAUGUGUAGUACCACGUCACAUUUAUCGGUCAGAUUAUUUUACAUCCUUCUUCGAGUUACUAAAAAUGCAAGAAGAAGUUACUGAUUUAAGGGCAGUAGAGGAAGCAUUUGUGCCAGUAAUAAAAAUGAAUUUUGAUGGUAUAGAAAUUGAUAUGUUGUUUGCUAAACUGGCUCUAAAAGAAAUUCCGGAUUCAAUGGAUCUCAGAGACGAUAUGUUAUUAAAGAAUCUUGAUCAAAAAUGCGUUAGAAGUCUUAAUGGUUGCAGAGUCACAGAUGAGAUACUGCGUUUAGUACCUAACAUAGAAAAUUUUAGAUUGGCCCUAAGAGCCAUUAAAUUGUGGGCAAAACGACAUGGCAUAUAUAGUAAUGUAUUAGGAUAUUUAGGUGGUGUAUCAUGGGCUAUGCUAGUAGCAAGAACGUGCCAACUUUAUCCUAAUGCUGUUGCAGCAACAUUAAUAGAAAAAUUUUUCCUUGUAUUUUCUCAAUGGAAAUGGCCACAGCCAGUCCUUUUAAAGCAACCUGACAAUGUUAAUUUAGGAUUUCCUGUUUGGGAUCCAAGAGUGAAUAUAUCGGAUAGAUAUCAUUUAAUGCCAAUAAUUACGCCUGCAUAUCCUCAACAAAAUUCUACCUUUAACGUUUCGGUAUCAACGAGAACCAUUAUGCAAGAAGCAUUUGAAAACGGUCUUUCAAUAACAGAAGAGAUUAUUAUGGGAAAAGCAACUUGGGAUAAAUUAUUUGAACCUCCAAAUUUCUUUGGAAAAUACAAACAUUAUAUUGUAUUAUUAGCAAGAAGCUUAACUGCUGAAGAUCAGCUUGAAUGGUGUGGACUUGUCGAAUCAAAAAUACGACACUUAAUAGGUACACUGGAAAGGAAUCCUCACAUCACAUUGGCACAUGUAAAUCCGGAGGCGUUUCCACCAUUAGAACCAGAACCAGAAAGACACUGCUCUAUGUGGUUCAUAGGCUUGCUUUUUGCCAAAAGCGAAAAUUUAAACGUUGAUCUAACGUAUGAUAUAAAAUCUUUUGUAGACUCAAUCCUGAGACAGGCGGAACAAUUAAGCAUGUUGAAAGAAGGGAUGUGGAUCGAAGUAAAACACGUGAAAAAAAGGGAUCUACACACUUAUGUAUCUCCUAGUUUGCUCAAACGAGAAAGAAAGGUUUCCGGUAUUGUACAUAAAAACGGAAAUAUUGCUGGAAACGGUAACAGUGGUAGCGUUUCGCCACGAAACCCAGGGAAUACAACGAACAGAAAGAGAUUAUCAGAUCAAAAUCAAGAUACAAGUAUGAAAAAGAGAAAAGUCAACGAUGGCGAACAGCCAUCAGUGACACACGUAGCAUGGAGAAGAUGGAUCGCUGGUUGUUCAGUCUUGCGGAGAAGAUAGCAAUUCCGGAUUCAGCUUGGAUGAAUAUAAACAAACAUUAUCAGCUGCUAAGGAUGUAAGACAUUGUACAUAUAAUGAACAGUAAUCAUCAUAUAACAGGAUUAGGAAGGGCCUACUGGUGCAUCAACAGUAGCACAGGAAGGAUAUGUUUGCACUUGACCGCUACAGGAGUACUACCUCACAUCUAUCCACAGAUGCUCCUCUGGGCCAUCUAGACUGUAAUCACUUCUCAUGCAACCAUCCACUGCCCACUGUAAGUCCCCCGUUUCGUAAAAACAAAGCAACGUCAUGCGUUGGAGAGAACUACCCGUUGGAGUCAAUCGAUGCACGACUGUGUGUGACGGACACUCUAAUUUUAGUAUUUAUCAACAUCUACAGUCAAUGGGAACAACUAUGUUAUUGAAUAAUUGUGCCAGUGUCUGUGAUGUUAUUUUUUUAUCGUAAAUCGCGUUAGUAAUUUUGGAAAGUUACGAUCGAAAAAAAAACUAUAGAUAGCAAAGCUUCAAAACCAUCACUAUGUGAAUCUAAGAUUCAUAAUUUUAUUUUUAUAUUUCAUUUUGUACAUAUCACUUAUGAUCAUUUUUAUCCACGAAAUUAUUAAAAAAGAAAAAAAAAAAAGAGAAAUAAGAAAAAAAAAGAUGAUAAGAACAUGGUGUCGGGUGUAAAAUACAGUUCGAUGUUGUCGCGUUGAAAUGUGAAUAGACAACGAUAUUUUGAUUAAAUGCUUGUAUUAGGAUUUUCAGUCAAAUGAAAAAAAAAAAAAAGAAAAAAAAAAGGAAGGUAAAAAAAAAAAAAAAAAAAGAAAAAAAAAAGAAAAAAAAAGAAUGAAAGUUUCAGCGUUAAUGAGAUAGAACGUAUUCUUGUAUAAAACGCAUUUCUUUAAUGCAUAAGUAGACAAAAUAUUUAAAAGAAAAAAAAAUGAAGUAUGUUUAAGUUGUAAAUAAUUCGUAAAACACGUCGUUAUUCUCGUGUCAGUGUAAAUUACACGAAAAUGAUUUGUCUCUAAGUUCAUUCAAGUGUAAUCGUAAUAUGAUGAUAAGUCUUAGUUUAUUCAUUUAUUUUACAAGAUAUUUAUAUAACAUUACAUAAUAUUAAUUUUAUUUAUAUUAUCUCUACUAAACGAAUAUCUUAAAUAUCAAUUACUGUAUGAGAUCAAUUCUAAUACAUGCGAUAUCGUUUAUAUUUUCACGAAAAAAGGAUCAAAAAUUAAUUUUUUUUGUUUUUUUGUUUUUCUCUCUCUCUCUCUCUUUGCCUCUCUAUCUCUCUUUCUCUCUCUGUCUCUCUCUCUUUCUCACUCUUGUAAUCAGUCGAAUAACGAAUAAAAAUCACCGGCACUGGCAUAAGAAAUUGAAUGUUUCAUUUACGGAAUAAACAUCGAUAGCAUUAUUAGAUUCGCGUCGAUGAUCACUCAUAAUUAAGUAAUUAAACUGUAAAUGAAACAUCUGUGAACAAGCCAUUGACUUUGUUGACGAUCGUGUUACAUAGAAAUGUUUUUGUACGGAGAGUCGCUUUUUAGUUUUUAUUCACAGAAAACGAAGUUAUAGCUUUAACAAUGCAACAUGGGACUGGCAUCUGGAUUAUUCGAAUCAUCCACCACCUGAUGGUGAGUGUUUUCAGGUGUUCGACUGCCUUCAGUUCCCCUUCAGUUAGAUUUCUAUCCUACAAUGAUUCCGAUUCUAUCUUUUUAUCGUAACCAUACUUUCCUUUACGAAUUACCAUUGUGUUAAAGGCAUGUCAUUUAUUAAGACACGUCUCGGGAUGUUUGAUGUUCACUCUUUAAUAAUGAUAUUAAUGAUAAUAUACGUAAUAUAGAUAUUCGAUAUGAACGACACAUCGCAACGUAUUAUCUCAGGAACUAAGUAUUUGCAGAAUAAUCUUCAUUAAUGUAUAUUUGCAUACGAAUAUUACAACGUUUGUAUAAAUACGCGAAUUAACAUUGCUAACCGAAAUAUAAAUGGUUAUUUGUUUCUUUUUUUCGAAAAUUUAUAUUCGAUUAAGAAUUAUUGAGAUAAUCUGCGAAUACUAUAGUUAAUUCGAGCGAGUUAGGGACCAUUUCGUUGUUUGUAUAUAUUGGUCGUAAUCAUGAGAUCGUAUUUUUUUUUCUUUUUCUCCUUUCUUUUUUUCUUUUUUUUUCAUUCUAAAGCUUCUCUGCUCGUAUACGUCUUAUGUUACGUUAAUCAAAAGUAUAAAUGUAUAGUCGGCAAAUUACAUUAUAAUUUUUUUUUCUUUUUUUUUUUUUUUGCUUCUGUUAUAAUCGAAUUAGAUUCACGAUGUAUGUAAGCAUUAUGUCAUUAUCUUUAUAUCUGUAUUCUGUCAUUUUUUUUUUUCUUUUUUACAUUCACUUUAAUUUUUGUUCGUGUGAUACGAGCAUUCGAGAUUUUUACAGGUCUAGGUGAAUGUACAAAGUAACUGACUUGGAUGUAAAUCGAGAUAUUCAAAUCCUGAAUAAAAAAUUUUUCUUAUAAAA